rnacentral:misc_RNA from 1 species
UCCGGUUUGUCACCGGCGGUCUCCUUAGAGUGCCCAACUGAAUGCUGGCAACUAAGGGCGAGGGUUGCGCUCGUUGCGGGACUUAACCCAACAUCCCACGACACGAGCUGACGACAGCCAUGCAGCACCUGUGUGCAAGUCACCGAAGUGAAGGAAUCCAUCUCUGGAAACCGUCCUGCCAUGUCAAGGGCUGGUAAGGUUCUUCGCGUUGCUUCGAAUUAAACCACAUGCUCCGCUGCUUGUGCGGGUCCCCGUCAAUUCCUUUGAGUUUUAGCCUUGCGGCCGUAGUCCCCAGGCGGGGUGCUUAUUGCGUUAGCGACGGCACCGGAGGGGUCGAUACCCCCGACACCUAGCACCCAUCGUUUACAGCGUGGACUAC